CGGCAAAAGAACACGAGGGUACACAAUAACACACACACAACGUUGUAGAACAUGUCAGACUCAGAGGCUGCAGCUCCUGCCGAGACCCCUGUCCCUGCUGCCUGUAAGACCAUCAAGGCAGACCUGGACAAAUGCAUAAAGGAGAAAGGGGAGGUGGCAUGUAGCAAACUGGUGGAGGCUUUCACCGCCUGUGUAAAGAGCAGUGCCAAGACAUCGUGAGAAGCUCUACACAAAGAACAUGUCCACUGCACUGGGUCCUCCACCUUCCCAGCAUUCCUUUCAGCACUGAACUGAAUGACUCUGAUGGGACUUGGCAGCAGAACACAUAUGUCCGGCCCCCUCGCCUCCUCUCCUCCUGCCCCACUUCAUGCAGUUUUAACGGCAUCUUCCUGCCCCUCCUUUUUCCCUUGCGGCCAAAUGCUUCUGAUCUGUAGGCUGUUUCGGGAAGCCCUUGGAUUUUAUGUAAAUUGUCUGUUUGAGAAGCUUUCAUAAUAGUGUAAUAAAGUUUAAAAGACUAGUACUUUUGUCUUUGACGAAAUUGUUAGGUUGACACAUGUGCUUUUGGUGUGCGGUGUGAUCUGCAGUGCAUAAUGUUCAACAUAAUGACCAAACCACUGGGCAAAAAAUAAUGGAACUUGUACCUACCAUAUUUUUUAAUAAAAAGUGGUAUAUA